UGCUGGAGGUAUCAGAAGUGCGAAUGCUGACAUAAGUAACGAUAAAGCGGGUGAAAAGCCCGCUCGCCGGAAGACCAAGGGUUCCUGUCCAACGUUAAUCGGGGCAGGGUGAGUCGACCCCUAAGGCGAGGCCGAAAGGCGUAGUCGAUGGGAAACGGGUUAAUAUUCCCGUACUUGGUGUUACUGCGAAGGGGGGACGGAGAAGGCUAUGUUGGCCGGGCGACGGUUGUCCCGGUUUAAGCGUGUAGGUGUGUGUUCCAGGUAAAUCCGGUUCACUUUAACACUGAGGCGUGACGACGAGGCACUACGGUGCUGAAGCAACAAAUGCCCUGCUUCCAGGAAAAGCCUCUAAGCAUCAGGUAACACGAAAUCGUACCCCAAACCGACACAGGUGGUCAGGUAGAGAAUACCAAGGCGCUUGAGAGAACUCGGGUGAAGGAACUAGGCAAAAUGGUGCCGUAACUUCGGGAGAAGGCACGCUGACACGUAGGUGAAGUGAUUUACUCAUGGAGCUGAAGUCAGUCGAAGAUACCAGCUGGCUGCAACUGUUUAUUAAAAACACAGCACUGUGCAAACACGAAAGUGGACGUAUACGGUGUGACGCCUGCCCGGUGCCGGAAGGUUAAUUGAUGGGGUCAGCGUAAGCGAAGCUCCUGAUCGAAGCCCCGGUAAACGGCGGCCGUAACUAUAACGGUCCUAAGGUAGCGAAAUUCCUUGUCGGGUAAGUUCCGACCUGCACGAAUGGCGUAAUGAUGGCCAGGCUGUCUCCACCCGAGACUCAGUGAAAUUGAACUCGCUGUGAAGAUGCAGUGUACCCGCGGCAAGACGGAAAGACCCCGUGAACCUUUACUAUAGCUUGACACUGAACAUUGAGCCUUGAUGUGUAGGAUAGGUGGGAGGCUUUGAAGUGUGGACGCCAGUCUGCAUGGAGCCGACCUUGAAAUACCACCCUUUAAUGUUUGAUGUUCUAACGUGGACCCGUAAUCCGGGUUGCGGACAGUGUCUGGUGGGUAGUUUGACUGGGGCGGUCUCCUCCUAAAGAGUAACGGAGGAGCACGAAGGUUGGCUAAUCCUGGUCGGACAUCAGGAGGUUAGUGCAAUGGCAUAAGCCAGCUUGACUGCGAGCGUGACGGCGCGAGCAGGUGCGAAAGCAGGUCAUAGUGAUCCGGUGGUUCUGAAUGGAAGGGCCAUCGCUCAACGGAUAAAAGGUACUCCGGGGAUAACAGGCUGAUACCGCCCAAGAGUUCAUAUCGACGGCGGUGUUUGGCACCUCGAUGUCGGCUCAUCACAUCCUGGGGCUGAAGUAGGUCCCAAGGGUAUGGCUGUUCGCCAUUUAAAGUGGUACGCGAGCUGGGUUUAGAACGUCGUGAGACAGUUCGGUCCCUAUCUGCCGUGGGCGCUGGAGAACUGAGGGGGGCUGCUCCUAGUACGAGAGGACCGGAGUGGACGCAUCACUGGUGUUCGGGUUGUCAUGCCAAUGGCACUGCCCGGUAGCUAAAUGCGGAAGAGAUAAGUGCUGAAAGCAUCUAAGCACGAAACUUGCCCCGAGAUGAGUUCUCCCUGAGACUU
rnacentral:rRNA from 1 species